CUACGGAGGGUGCAAGCGUUAUUCGGAAUCACUGGGCGUAAAGGGUGCGUAGGCGGUUUGAUAAGUCUGAUGUGAAAUCCUAUGGCUCAACCAUAGAACUGCAUUGGAAACUGUCAGACUAGAAUACUGAAGGGGCAGAUGGAAUUAGUGGUGUAGGGGUAAAAUCCGUAGAUAUCACUAGGAAUACCGGAAGCGAAAGCGAUCUGCUGGGAAGUUAUUGACGCUGAGGCACGAAAGCGUGGGGAGCAAACGGGAUUAGAAACCCCAGUAGUCC
rnacentral:rRNA from 1 species